UGGGGAAUAUUGCACAAUGGGCGCAAGCCUGAUGCAGCCAUGCCGCGUGUAUGAAGAAGGCCUUCGGGUUGUAAAGUACUUUCAGUCGGGAGGAAGGUGGUAAGGUUAAUAACCUUGUCGAUUGACGUUACCCGCAGAAGAAGCACCGGCUAACUCCGUGCCAGCAGCCGCGGUAAUACGGAGGGUGCAAGCGUUAAUCGGAAUUACUGGGCGUAAAGCGCACGCAGGCGGUCUGUCAAGUCGGAUGUGAAAUCCCCGGGCUCAACCUGGGAACUGCAUUCGAUACUGGCAGGCUAGAGUCUUGUAGAGUGGGGUAGAAUUCCAGGUGUAGCGGUGAACUGCGUAGAGAUCUGGAGGAAUACCGGUGGCGAAGGCGGCCCCCUGGACAAAGACUGACGCUCAGGUGCGAAAGCGUGGGGAUCAAACAGG
rnacentral:rRNA from 1 species